UCCGAUAUGGUGUAGUGGCUAACAUUAUCGCCUCUCAUUUGUUGUCCGCGAUAGCCCGGGGUUCGAUUCCCCGUGUCGGAA
rnacentral:tRNA from 1 species